rnacentral:rRNA from 1 species
ACAACGAAGAGUUUGAUCCUGGCUCAGGAUGAACGCUAGCGACAGGCCUAACACAUGCAAGUCGAGGGGCAGCACAAAGGUAGCAAUACUUUGGUGGCGACCGGCGCACGGGUGAGUAACACGUAUGCAACCUACCUGUAAGCGGGGAAUAACCCGGAGAAAUUCGGACUAAUACCGCAUAAUACCAACCCACCGCAUGGUGAGUUGGUUAAAUAUUUAUAGCUUACAGAUGGGCAUGCGUAUGAUUAGAUAGUUGGUGAGGUAACGGCUCACCAAGUCAACGAUCAUUAGGGGUUCUGAGAGGAAGGUCCCCCACACUGGUACUGAGACACGGACCAGACUCCUACGGGAGGCAGCAGUGAGGAAUAUUGGUCAAUGGGCGAGAGCCUGAACCAGCCAAGUCGCGUGAAGGAAGAAGGUUCUAUGGAUUGUAAACUUCUUUUGUAAGGGAAUAAAAAAGGGUACGUGUACUCUAUUGUAUGUACUUUACGAAUAAGGAUCGGCUAACUCCGUGCCAGCAGCCGCGGUAAUACGGAGGAUCCAAGCGUUAUCCGGAUUUAUUGGGUUUAAAGGGUGCGUAGGCGGGUUUUUAAGUCAGUGGUGAAAGUUUGCGGCUCAACCGUAAAAUUGCCAUUGAAACUGAAGGUCUUGAGUGUAAAUGAGGUAGGCGGAAUGUGUUGUGUAGCGGUGAAAUGCUUAGAUAUAACACAGAACACCAAUUGCGAAGGCAGCUUACUGGGAUACAACUGACGCUGAGGCACGAAAGCGUGGGGAUCAAACAGGAUUAGAUACCCUGGUAGUCCACGCAGUAAACGAUGAAUACUAGCUGUAUGCGAUAUACCGUAUGUGGCACAGCGAAAGCGUUAAGUAUUCCACCUGGGGAGUACGUUCGCAAGAAUGAAACUCAAAGGAAUUGACGGGGGCCCGCACAAGCGGAGGAACAUGUGGUUUAAUUCGAUGAUACGCGAGGAACCUUACCCGGGCUUGAAAUGCAGAGGAAAGACUUGGAAACAGGUUCGCCAGCAAUGGUCUCUGUGUAGGUGCUGCAUGGUUGUCGUCAGCUCGUGCCGUGAGGUGUCGGCUUAAGUGCCAUAACGAGCGCAACCCUUGCCAUUAGUUACUAACAGGUCAUGCUGAGGACUCUAAUGGGACUGCCAUCGUAAGAUGCGAGGAAGGUGGGGAUGACGUCAAAUCAGCACGGCCCUUACGUCCGGGGCGACACACGUGUUACAAUGGGGGGUACAGAGGGUCGCUACCUAGUGAUAGGAUGCUAAUCUCAUAAAGCCUCUCUCAGUUCGGAUCGAAGUCUGCAACUCGACUUCGUGAAGCUGGAUUCGCUAGUAAUCGCGCAUCAGCCAUGGCGCGGUGAAUACGUUCCCGGGCCUUGUACACACCGCCCGUCAAGCCAUGGAAGCCGGGGAGACCUGAAGUACGUAACCGUCAAGGAGCGUCCUAGGGUAAAAUCGGUAACUGGGGCUAAGUCGUAACAAGGUAGCCGUACCGGAAGGUGCGGCUGGAACACCUCCUUU